rnacentral:rRNA from 1 species
AGGGGUUUUUCGCAUCGGGCGGAGCCCUGACCCCGCAACGCCGCGUGGGUGAUGAAGGCCUUCGGGUUUUUAAACUCUUUUUUCCGGGGCGAAAAUUCCGGCCGGGGGAAUUAGGCAGGGGCGAAUUCCCUUGCUCGGCGGCCCGGUGAUUAAC